AGGGGGAUGGCUGAGAUGUUAGGCGAUAGAUUGUAAAUCUAUUUACGGAACGUUGUUUCUUUCCUUA
rnacentral:tRNA from 1 species